GCAGUCGAGCGCACUCUUCGGAGUGAGCGGCGGACGGGUUAGUAACGCGUGGGAAUGUACCCUUCUCUAAGGAAUAGCCUCGGGAAACUGAGAGUAAUACCUUAUACGCCCUUCGGGGGAAAGAUUUAUCGGAGAAGGAUCAGCCCGCGUUAGAUUAGAUAGUUGGUGGGGUAAUGGCCUACCAAGUCUACGAUCUAUAGCUGGUUUUAGAGGAUGAUCAGCAACACUGGGACUGAGACACGGCCCAGACUCCUACGGGAGGCAGCAGUGGGGAAUCUUGGACAAUGGGCGCAAGCCUGAUCCAGCCAUGCCGCGUGAGUGAUGAAGGCCUUAGGGUCGUAAAGCUCUUUCGCCUGUGAUGAUAAUGACAGUAGCAGGUAAAGAAACCCCGGCUAACUCCGUGCCAGCAGCCGCGGNAAUACAGAGGGGGUUAGCGGUGUUCU
rnacentral:rRNA from 1 species